rnacentral:lncRNA from 1 species
UUCUGGUCAGUUGAUAAGAUUUCAUGAAGCUCUCGCAAAAAGCGUUUUGCAGGAACUUGCAUUGCUGAAUAUCUCUAGUGCUUGAAGAUUUCAAGGCAUACGAGCUAGCAACCAAAAGAGUUCCUACAACCCAAUCAAACAAGAUGGAAAUGGGCAAAGGGAUAUACGCAAGUUUCCAUGAGGGCAAUUUAGAAAAUUUUAUUACAAUGGUUGCGAUGAAUGAUGUAAAGUGGAGUUCUUUCCUAAAUCACUGAAUUUCAGUUGAAUAUAGGUCAAAUCCAACAAUUUCAGUUGAAUUUGCGGAGUUUCGUGCCUUGGGAAGAUGGAGUGAAGCCAUCACUGUGCAAUAUGUUGAGGGAAACUCACCGGAAAAACAACCGGAAGCCACGACAGUGAAAAUGACCAAUCUUUGAGUUCUCGGCUGGAGAUGCCGCCGACUAUCGACCAGCAGUUGUCACAGACACAGAGCUCGGUUGCAAGGUUUCGGAGGCUCGUCCUCGUUGCCUUGUCCAUGCCGCCACCCUGUCUCAACGACGGCGGCUGACUGGAGCAGUUCAGAACUCGCCGGCUCUUUCAGCUUUACUCACAGUCAAGAGGAUGUCCUCUUAUCCUUCGACCACGUCAUCUUCAAUAUGGGCCCCUGUGGUCCCCAGGUUCUUGCUGAAUCAGAUGCCUACGUGGCAAUUCUCAAUAUCUCUCCAAAAC